UUGCUCCCUGAUGUUAGCGGCGGACGGGUGAGUAACACGUGGGUAACCUGCCUGUAAGACUGGGAUAACUCCGGGAAACCGGGGCUAAUACCGGAUGGUUGUCUGAACCGCAUGGUUCAGACAUAAAAGGUGGCUUCGGCUACCACUUACAGAUGGACCCGCGGCGCAUUAGCUAGUUGGUGAGGUAACGGCUCACCAAGGCGACGAUGCGUAGCCGACCUGAGAGGGUGAUCGGCCACACUGGGACUGAGACACGGCCCAGACUCCUACGGGAGGCAGCAGUAGGGAAUCUUCCGCAAUGGACGAAAGUCUGACGGAGCAACGCCGCGUGAGUGAUGAAGGUUUUCGGAUCGUAAAGCUCUGUUGUUAGGGAAGAACAAGUGCCGUUCAAAUAGGGCGGCACCUUGACGGUACCUAACCAGAAAGCCACGGCUAACUACGUGCCAGCAGCCGCGGUAAUACGUAGGUGGCAAGCGUUGUCCGGAAUUAUUGGGCGUAAAGGGCUCGCAGGCGGUUUCUUAAGUCUGAUGUGAAAGCCCCCGGCUCAACCGGGGAGGGUCAUUGGAAACUGGGGAACUUGAGUGCAGAAGAGGAGAGUGG
rnacentral:rRNA from 1 species